GAUGAACGCUGGCGGCGCGCCUAACACAUGCAAGUCGAACGGUUAAAGCACCUUUUAGGUGUGUAUAAAGUGGCGAACGGCUGAGUAACACGUGGGUAACCUGCCCUCCUCUUGGGGAUAGCCUCGGGAAACCGAGGAUAAUACCCGAUACUUCAAUGUGGCCGCAUGACGACAUUGAGAAAGCUUUUGCGGAGAAGGAUGGGCCCGCGGCCUGUUAGCUUGUUGGUGGGGUAGAGGCCUACCAAGGCAAUGAUGGGUAGCUGGGUUGAGAGACCGACCAGCCAGAUUGGGACUGAGACACGGCCCAGACUCCUACGGGAGGCAGCAGUGGGGAAUCUUGCACAAUGGGCGAAAGCCUGAUGCAGCGACGCCGCGUGCGGGACGAAGGCCUUCCGGGUUGUAAACCGCUUUCAGCAGGGACGAGGCGAAAGUGACGGUACCUGCAGAAGAAGCCCCGCUAACUAC
rnacentral:rRNA from 2 species